GACAAAUCUUGCGGAGCCAAUAUGGUCGGGCACUGUGAGAACAACAUGUGCCAUUGUCACGCACAGAACGAAUGCGUUCAUGCUGAUGACUGCACGUGCGGUGGACAUCAGGUCGCCACUUGUGAUAACCACCAAUGCCACUGCCAUCAUCCUCGUCGGGCUGUCCACGAAUGCGUUCACGCCAGUGACUGCACGUGUGAUGGACAUCAGAUCGCCACUUGUGACAAUCACCAGUGUAGUUGCCAUCAUCCUCGUCGUGCGGUCAACGAGUGUGUGCAUGCCACCGACUGCACGUGCGGCGGGGGACAGAUUGCCACUUGUGAUAACCACCAAUGUCACUGCCAUCAUCCUCGUCGGGCGGUCAACGAAUGUGUUCACGCUGAUGACUGCACGUGCGGUGGAAAUCAGAUCGCCACUUGUGACAAUCACCAAUGCCACUGCCACCACCCUUGAUGAUAUUACCAUAACUCACUUUUUUACGAUAAUAAAAUUUGAUACUCU
rnacentral:misc_RNA from 1 species